GCUCAGAUUGAACGCUGGCGGCAGGCCUAACACAUGCAAGUCGAGCGGUAGCACAGAGAGCUUGCUCUCGGGUGACGAGCGGCGGACGGGUGAGUAAUGUCUGGGAAACUGCCUGAUGGAGGGGGAUAACUACUGGAAACGGUAGCUAAUACCGCAUAACGUCGCAAGACCAAAGUGGGGGACCUUCGGGCCUCAUGCCAUCAGAUGUGCCCAGAUGGGAUUAGCUAGUAGGUGGGGUAACGGCUCACCUAGGCGACGAUCCCUAGCUGGUCUGAGAGGAUGACCAGCCACACUGGAACUGAGACACGGUCCAGACUCCUACGGGAGGCAGCAGUGGGGAAUAUUGCACAAUGGGCGCAAGCCUGAUGCAGCCAUGCCGCGUGUGUGAAGAAGGCCUUCGGGUUGUAAAGCACUUUCAGCGGGGAGGAAGGCGAUAAGGUUAAUAACCUUGUCGAUUGACGUUACCCGCAGAAGAAGCACCGGCUAACUCCGUGCCAGCAGCCGCGGUAAUACGGAGGGUGCAAGCGUUAAUCGGAAUUACUGGGCGUAAAGCGCACGCAGGCGGUCUGUCAAGUCGGAUGUGAAAUCCCCGGGCUCAACCUGGGAACUGCAUUCGAAACUGGCAGGCUAGAGUCUUGUAGAGGGGGGUAGAAUUCCAGGUGUAGCGGUGAAAUGCGUAGAGAUCUGGAGGAAUACCGGUGGCGAAGGCGGCCCCCUGGACAAAGACUGACGCUCAGGUGCGAAAGCGUGGGGAGCAAACAGGAUUAGAUACCCUGGUAGUCCACGCCGUAAACGAUGUCGAUUUGGAGGUUGUGCCCUUGAGGCGUGGCUUCCGGAGCUAACGCGUUAAAUCGACCGCCUGGGGAGUACGGCCGCAAGGUUAAAACUCAAAUGAAUUGACGGGGGCCCGCACAAGCGGUGGAGCAUGUGGUUUAAUUCGAUGCAACGCGAAGAACCUUACCUGGUCUUGACAUCCACAGAACUUUCCAGAGAUGGAUUGGUGCCUUCGGGAACUGUGAGACAGGUGCUGCAUGGCUGUCGUCAGCUCGUGUUGUGAAAUGUUGGGUUAAGUCCCGCAACGAGCGCAACCCUUAUCCUUUGUUGCCAGCGGUUAGGCCGGGAACUCAAAGGAGACUGCCAGUGAUAAACUGGAGGAAGGUGGGGAUGACGUCAAGUCAUCAUGGCCCUUACGACCAGGGCUACACACGUGCUACAAUGGCAUAUACAAAGAGAAGCGACCUCGCGAGAGCAAGCGGACCUCAUAAAGUAUGUCGUAGUCCGGAUUGGAGUCUGCAACUCGACUCCAUGAAGUCGGAAUCGCUAGUAAUCGUAGAUCAGAAUGCUACGGUGAAUACGUUCCCGGGCCUUGUACACACCGCCCGUCACACCAUGGGAGUGGGUUGCAAAAGAAGUAGGUAGCUUAACCUUCGGGAGGGCGCUUACCACUUUGUGAUUCAUGACUGGGGUGAAGUCGUA
rnacentral:rRNA from 1 species